rnacentral:rRNA from 5 species
AAAUUGAAGAGUUUGAUCAUGGCUCAGAUUGAACGCUGGCGGCAGGCCUAACACAUGCAAGUCGAACGGUAACAGGAAGCAGCUUGCUGCUUCGCUGACGAGUGGCGGACGGGUGAGUAAUGUCUGGGAAACUGCCUGAUGGAGGGGGAUAACUACUGGAAACGGUGGCUAAUACCGCAUAACGUCGCAAGACCAAAGAGGGGGACCUUCGGGCCUCUUGCCAUCAGAUGUGCCCAGAUGGGAUUAGCUUGUUGGUGAGGUAACGGCUCACCAAGGCGACGAUCCCUAGCUGGUCUGAGAGGAUGACCAGCCACACUGGAACUGAGACACGGUCCAGACUCCUACGGGAGGCAGCAGUGGGGAAUAUUGCACAAUGGGCGCAAGCCUGAUGCAGCCAUGCCGCGUGUAUGAAGAAGGCCUUCGGGUUGUAAAGUACUUUCAGCGGGGAGGAAGGUGUUGUGGUUAAUAACCGCAGCAAUUGACGUUACCCGCAGAAGAAGCACCGGCUAACUCCGUGCCAGCAGCCGCGGUAAUACGGAGGGUGCAAGCGUUAAUCGGAAUUACUGGGCGUAAAGCGCACGCAGGCGGUCUGUCAAGUCGGAUGUGAAAUCCCCGGGCUCAACCUGGGAACUGCAUUCGAAACUGGCAGGCUUGAGUCUUGUAGAGGGGGGUAGAAUUCCAGGUGUAGCGGUGAAAUGCGUAGAGAUCUGGAGGAAUACCGGUGGCGAAGGCGGCCCCCUGGACAAAGACUGACGCUCAGGUGCGAAAGCGUGGGGAGCAAACAGGAUUAGAUACCCUGGUAGUCCACGCCGUAAACGAUGUCUACUUGGAGGUUGUGCCCUUGAGGCGUGGCUUCCGGAGCUAACGCGUUAAGUAGACCGCCUGGGGAGUACGGCCGCAAGGUUAAAACUCAAAUGAAUUGACGGGGGCCCGCACAAGCGGUGGAGCAUGUGGUUUAAUUCGAUGCAACGCGAAGAACCUUACCUGGUCUUGACAUCCACAGAACUUUCCAGAGAUGGAUUGGUGCCUUCGGGAACUGUGAGACAGGUGCUGCAUGGCUGUCGUCAGCUCGUGUUGUGAAAUGUUGGGUUAAGUCCCGCAACGAGCGCAAC